GUGCCGUGUGCGUUUUAUUACGUAUUCGUAUCAUUUUUUUUUUUUUUUUUUUUAAUAUCGCGACGAUCCUAUUGUUUUCGGCCGGAGCGCGGCGAUACGUCGUACUGGGUUUCGACCGCCACCAACGAAACCGGCCGACGGUUUAGGCGCGCCCGAAAACGCGACCAUGUAUGUGAUAUCAUUGAUACAUAAAAUCGAACGGCCCUGUUAUUAUCCGUUUUUCACGUUUCUGUAG